UUUUUUUUUUUUGAAACUCGGGUUCACGUUUGCUUUUACUUUGGUUUGUUAUGCUUUUUUUUUUAGGAAAUUUUGGUUUGUUAUGCUAGUCAUUUGAAAAAUAGAUGUAAAAAAUUCUUGAGUUUUAUUUCUCUGAUUUCGACACGACGCACGAGUGAGCCAACUUGGAUUCGCAAAAGAGUUGUCAACAGGUAAAAAAGUAAUUUCAUUCUCUAUUUCAUAGCAUGUUUUGUUCAUAGGGCUGUCUAAUUGGUUAUCAGGUUUUGAAUACAAUGUGAACAAUAUUUAUAUUUUCGUUAUUUCAGAGAUAGAUCCAAGAUUUAUCGAUAGGGGCUGAACUUGUUAAAAUAUGAAACUUGAAGAUAUUGCACAAAGUUCGAAGGUGGUAGUAGCCUUCAAGCCAAAUUUUUAUGGAUAAUCUGUACAGUUUAUUUUUGUGAUGAACUUAAGAUAGAAAUCAAUCACUUAAUAUAAUAGUAUAUAAUUAUACUUUUUUUAUUGAUUCGAUAAUAGAUACAUUUGUG
rnacentral:lncRNA from 1 species